GAUAUGGUAGCUCAGAAGGCAGAGCAUCAGAUUACGAAUCUGAAAGUCACGAGUUCAAGUCUCGUCCAUAUCU
rnacentral:tRNA from 1 species